UGGGGAGUAUUGGACAAUGGGGGCAACCCUGAUCCAGCAAUGCCGCGUGAGUGAUGAAGGCCUUAGGGUUGUAAAGCUCUUUCGGCGGGGAAGAUGAUGACGGUACCCGCAGAAGAAGCCCCGGCUAACUUCGUGCCAGCAGCCGCGGUAAUACGAAGGGGGCUAGCGUUGUUCGGAAUUACUGGGCGUAAAGGGCGCGUAGGCGGUCUUGUAAGUCAGGCGUGAAAGGCCCGGGCUCAACCUGGGGACUGCGCUUGAUACUGCGAGGCUUGAAUCCGGGAGAGGAUGGCGGAAUUCCCAGUGUAGAGGUGAAAUUCGUAGAUAUUGGGAAGAACACCGGUGGCGAAGGCGGCCAUCUGGCCCGUGAUUGACGCUGAGGCGCGAAAGCGUGGGGAGCAAA
rnacentral:rRNA from 1 species